rnacentral:ncRNA from 1 species
AAACGAAAGGUUUGGUCCUGGCCUUUUUAUUAGUUACUAGUAAACUUACACAUGCGAGACUCCUCAUGCCAGUGAAAAUACCCUUAAAUAUCUGCCACUGAUUGUAAGGAGUGGGUAUCAAGCACACUAAAGUUGCUCAAGACACCUUGCCUAGCCACACCCCCACGGGAAACAGCAGUGAUAAAAAUUAAGCAAUGAACGAAAGUUUGACUUAGUUAUACUAUUUAGGGUUGGUCAAUAUCGUGCCAGCCACCGCGGUCAUACGAUUAACCCAAACUAAUAAACUUACGGCGUAAAGCGUGUUUAGAGAACUACAGCAAAAUAAGGUUAAAUUCUGACUAAUAUGUAGAAAUUCAUAGUCUAGGAUAAAAUAAGCUACGAAAGUGAUCUUAUUAGACCUGAAGACACGAUAGCUAGGACACAAACUGGGAUUAGAUACCCCACUAUGCCUAGCCCUAAACAGAGAUAGCCUCCUAAUAAGGCUACCCGCCAGAGAACUACUAGCUACUGCUUAAAACUCAAAGGACUUGGCGGUACUUUAUAUCCACCUAGAGGAGCCUGUUCUGUAAUCGAUGAACCCCGCUAUACCUCACCACUUCUUGCUAAUUCAGCCUAUAUACCGCCAUCUUCAGCGAACCCCUAUAGGGAAAAAAAGUAAGCUCAAUAAUUUCCACAUAAAAACGUUAGGUCAAGGUGUAGCUUAUGAAGUGGGAAGCAAUGGGCUACAUUUUCUCUGCCCAGAACAUUAACGAUAACCUUCUUGAAAUAGAAGGAAUAAGGAGGAUUUAGUAGUAAAUUAAGAAUAGAGUGCUUAAUUGAAUGGAGCAAUGAAGUACGCACACACCGCCCGUCACCCUCCUCAAGUAUAUUUCUAUACCUAUUACAUAAUGCAGCAGAAUAACAUAUUAGAGGAGACAAGUCGUAACAUGGUAAGCAUACUGGAAAGUGUGCUUGGAUGAAU